rnacentral:rRNA from 1 species
AUUGAACGCUGGCGGCAGGCCUAACACAUGCAAGUCGAGCGGCAGCGGGAAAGUAGCUUGCUACUUUUGCCGGCGAGCGGCGGACGGGUGAGUAAUGCCUGGGAAAUUGCCCAGUCGAGGGGGAUAACAGUUGGAAACGACUGCUAAUACCGCAUACGCCCUACGGGGGAAAGCAGGGGACCUUCGGGCCUUGCGCGAUUGGAUAUGCCCAGGUGGGAUUAGCUAGUUGGUGAGGUAAUGGCUCACCAAGGCGACGAUCCCUAGCUGGUCUGGGGGGGUGAUCAGCCACGCUGGAACUGAGACACGGUCCAGACUCCUACGGGAGGCAGCAGUGGGGAAUAUUGCACAAUGGGGGAAACCCUGAUGCAGCCAUGCCGCGUGUGUGAAGAAGGCCUUCGGGUUGUAAAGCACUUUCAGCGAGGAGGAAAGGUUGAUGCCUAAUACGUAUCAACUGUGACGUUACUCGCAGAAGAAGCACCGGCUAACUCCGUGCCAGCCGCCGCCGUAAUAC